AGCGGUUAAGAGCUUGGCUGCUAACCAAAAGUUCGGUAGUUCAAAUCUACUAGCCGCUC
rnacentral:tRNA from 1 species